AGGGACAAUCCGGGUGUCUGUGGGUGAAGGGGCAGAGAUGAGCUGGUGCCUUUAAGGUGGGAACUGGAGGCUGCCUCUCCCAUCACCUCACAUCCAACUCGGCUGGGCUCGGUCUUGCCAGAGGGUGGGAAAGACAUGGUGCUGGUUUCUGGAGCCCACCCUGGCCAAGAAGGAUGCCAGUUCCAGAGUGGGUGUUAUUGAGAGCCUGAGAUUCCUCCUGCUCAUUGUCAGUAGAAGCAGCAGCAGCAGCAUCAUAAUCGAUCAACAUCAUCACCACGUCAUCAUCACCAUCAUCAGCAUCAUGGAAUUCAAAACAAUGGGAGGAAUUUUCUUUUGCAAGCAGAGAGCGGAGGAGGGUCAAAGUCUGUGAAGAGCUUCAAGGCCUCAGCCAGAGUUGGGGUCUGGACAGGGGUUGGUGAGGCCUAAUAUGUCUUGCUCGAAUGCCUGGUCUUACUCCUAGAGGAGGCACCUGUCCCCAAGUUUAAGAAAUGAACAGGUUAGAGCUGGUUGUGUAGCUUGGUGGCAGCAGGCUGCUAAGCAUGUGCAAGGUCCUAGGAUCAGAGCCUAACACAGCCCGUCACCCUCCACCCCCCUCAACAAAACAAAGAAAGGGAGAGGUUGUGUAUUUGGGUCCAUUUGUGUGAGGAACCUAGAGUGGAGAUGUUCACAGAAACAGAGAGAGGAGCUGGGGGUGGCUGCGGAUCUGGCAUUUUAAGGGUGCAGCCUCAGUUUGCGGUGAUGGAAAGUUCCAGAGACAGAUGGUGGUGAUGUUUGUACAGCGUUGCGAGUGUGCGUGGCAUCCUUAGACCUUGGAAAUAGCAAGCCUCAUGUGGCAUCCGCUCCACUACUCUUUUAAUAGUUACUUUCAUUUUUAAAAACUAACAAGAAGUAAACAGAGGUUGUCAGUGGUGGCGCAUACCCAUAAACCCUUAGGAGGUAGAGGCAGGAGGAUCCGGAGUUCAAGGCCAACCUGGGCUACAGGAGACCCUGUCUCAAAAGAAAAGUUGAGCCGUGUAUGGUAGCACAUGCUCAGCACUUGGACAGCAGAAGCAGGUGGAUCUCUGUGAGUCCAGGCUAACCCCCUCUAUCAGUCUACAUAGUGAGUUCCAGGCUAACCCCCUCUAUCUGUCUACAUAGUGACCUUGCUUUUUUUCCGAGUGCUGUCCACAUGGACACCUGGCGCUUUCCAGCCCCAAAUCCAGAUCCUACCCAGCAUGCACUAAAUAUACAGACAGGAUCAAGAGAAUCCUCUGUGUCCCAGCCCUGCCCCAUUUACUGUGCAACCUCAGAAAGGAACCAUAUUUCUGAAACCUUCUUGUGCCGGUCCUGGCAGAUCGUGACGUUGAGCUCCUGCCUAGGGGAGGGGACUGAGCAGCCACCUAAGUCAGGGACAAAGGCAGAAGCCAGCUUGGGCUUGGUGUGUUGCUGGCUCCACAGGAGUUCUGGAACCCACGGUUUGCAAACUGCUUUGCUUCUGGUAUGUUUUUGUGUUCCUUCGUGGGACCCUGAGGGAUUAUUCAUUCUUCGAAUGUUUGUAAUACUGGCCAGCCUGGUCUACACAGAGAGUUCUAGAACAGCUAGGGCUAUCUAGCUAGGACCUCAUCUAAAGGAAAAAAAAGAGAAAAAAGGCUGCUUAUCAUCAAAUAGCAUUGCCUAGGGCAAUUCACAGGCUGGUUUUCUAUACUAGGGAGUGACUUGGAGCAGGGCACAGCCUGGUCUCCAGUCUCUGUGUUGACAACCUUCCCAGCAAAUGCUAGCAGUAUUAGAAUUCCAGAGAGGGUGGGUUCCUCUCCCUCCCACACCCCAGGGCUUUCCUUGACUGAGUCUCAGUGCUGAGGGAAGAGACAGGAUGCCAGGUGGGGCAGCUGAGGGAGGUCCUCUGGGCCUGACUUACAUAGGGAUGGCCUUCAGAAACCAACCAAGGAAAUGUUGGGAACUCUUUUUUUUUCUUUUGGUUUUUCGAGACAGGGUUUCUCUGUAUAGCCCUGGCUGUCCUGAAACUC
rnacentral:lncRNA from 1 species